rnacentral:lncRNA from 1 species
GGGAGGUCCCAGGCUGGACAUCUUUACCAGGGGCUGGGAGAAAGCAGGCCGUGCUCUGUGGUCUCAGAGUCUUCCUGGCGCUCUUUGGAACCUGACAGAACAUGACCUCAGUCCCAGCCAGCGAGUGGCAGAGAGGACUUUGUACUUGGCUGCAAUAAAACAUGCCCUUCUUCGCAGAGACACGAACAAUCUCGUCUCUACCAGAGGCCUGUGAGACAUCAGCUCAGGACCUUGACCUGCAGACACCUCCCCUGUGCACAUUCUUGAUCUCAGACUUUCACAGGUGCUUUCUGUGGCAGGAAGAGUGAGGGUCCCAGGAAAGGUGUGGAUCCCAGAAGUCUCACUCAGUGUCACCCUCACGGACACACUGGGAAACUGGUCCGACCGAGUCCAGGAAGACAGCAGACACACGUGUCCUCUGUGGCACCAGCUCCUGUGGACACGCCCCCAGCACCGCAGGCCAUGCCAGUUACUACCCGGGCCAGGCUCGGGGACACAGCCUCAUGGUCCUGAGUAGACGCAAAGGCCCAUAGGCUGCGGCCUUGGGGCAGGAGCUUCUCCAGGGAGUGUGAACUUAGGCGCGCAGUAAGCGCGUGCUUGUGGUCACCACGUGGUCAGAUUCGCUGUGGUGAAUCUGUACCAACCCAAACUUGCCGGGAGUACAGAAAACUCUCAGAGCACUCGCACAGAAGAGCCAACAGCAAAGGAGGCAAGGUAUGACUCUGUGGCCCAGGCUGAAGUGCAGUGGUGCAACCACAGCUCGCUGCAGCCUCGACCUCCCCGGCUCAUGUGAUCCUCCCACCUCUGCAGCCUCGACCUCCCCGGCUCAUGUGAUCCUCCCACCUCAGCAGCCUCGACCUCCCCGGCUCAUGUGAUCCUCCCACCUCAGCAGCCUCGACCUCCCCGGCUCAUGUGAUCCUCCCACCUCUGCAGCCUCGACCUCCCCGGCUCAUGUGAUCCUCCCACCUCUGCAGCCUCGACCUCCCAGGCUCAUGUGAUCCUCCCACCUCUGCAGCCUCGACCUCCCCGGCUCAUGUGAUCCUCCCACCUCAGCCUCCCAAAGCACUGCGAUUUCAGCCCACACUCAGCCCAUUCUUUGUAGUAUUAAACUGUCCCUGUUCAAAUUACUGUGUGGCUCUCCUUUCUCGACUGGAGACUAAUAAUGUAUAUUUUAAUACAGGUUUUUUUUUUUAAGAUGGAGUCUCACUGUGUCACCCAGGCUGGAGUGCAGUGGCAUGAUCUCGGCUCACUGCAAGUUCCACCUCCCGGGUUCACGC